GACGAACGCUGGCGGCGUGCUUAACACAUGCAAGUCGAACGGAAAGGCCCUGCUUUUGUGGGGUGCUCGAGUGGCGAACGGGUGAGUAACACGUGAGUAACCUGCCCUUGACUUUGGGAUAACUUCAGGAAACUGGGGCUAAUACCGGAUAGGAGCUCCUGCUGCAUGGUGGGGGUUGGAAAGUUUUGGCGGUUGGGGAUGGACUCGCGGCUUAUCAGCUUGUUGGUGGGGUAGUGGCUUACCAAGGCUUUGACGGGUAGCCGGCCUGAGAGGGUGACCGGCCACAUUGGGACUGAGGUACGGCCCGGACUCCUACGGGGGGCAGCAGUGGGGAAUAUUGCACAAUGGGCGGAAGCCUGAUGCAGCACCGCCGCGUGCGGAAUGACGGCCUUCGGGUUGUAAACCGCUUUCGCCUGUAACGAAGCGUGAGUGACGGUAAUGGAUAAAGAAGCACCGGCUAACUACGU
rnacentral:rRNA from 1 species